rnacentral:rRNA from 1 species
AUUGAACGCUGGCGGCAGGCCUAACACAUGCAAGUCGAACGAGUGGCGGACGGGUGAGUAAUGUCUGGGAAACUGCCCGAUGGAGGGGGAUAACUACUGGAACCGGUAGCUAAUACCGCAUACCAUCGGAUGUGCCCAUAUGGGAUUAGCUUGUAGGUGAGGUAACGGCUCACCUUGGCGACGAUCCCUAGCGGGUCUGAGAGGAUGAGCAGCAACACUGGGACUGAGACACGGUACAGCCGCCUACGGGAGGAAGCAGUGGGGAAUAUGGCACAAUGGGUGCAAGCCUGAUGCAGCCAUGACGAGUGUAUGAAGAAGGCCUUCGGGUUGGAAAGUACUUUCAGCGGGGAGGCGUGACCCGCAGAAGAAGCACCGGCGAACUCCGUGCCAGCAGCCGCGGUAAUUC